CUGCUGCCUUCCGUAGGAGUUUGGGCCGUGUCUCAGUCCCAAUGUGGCCGUCCACCCUCUCAGGCCGGCUACUGAUCGUCGCCUUGGUGGGCCUUUACCCCGCCAACCAGCUAAUCAGACGCGGGUCCAUCCCAUACCACCUUGGUUUUCAAACAAAAAGCAUGCGCUUUCUGUUGUUAUGCGGUAUUAGCACCUAUUUCUAAGUGUUAUCCCCCUGUAUGGGCCAGGUUACCCACGCGUUACUCACCCGUCCGCCACGAAGCCUUUCCCUUUUCCG
rnacentral:rRNA from 1 species